CCUGAGUCCAAACCAAGAGUCAGAUGCCACUCAGGCACCCUGAUAACAUCUUGAGCCCUUCAGUCCCAGUAGAGCUGGUCAGAUGACUACAGAUGCAUAAAGAAACGAAAAGGAAGGUGUUUCAACAAUCUGUGGAGAAUCUUGUGUGAAGCUACAAGGAUUAAAGUCUGUCAUACAGCCAGAAAUGGAAGGAUCUUCCUGAACUUUUUUCAACACAAUCUCAGCCAUGAGUAUUGAAGGAAUAUUGCUUUCUAAAACCAAAAUAUAAGAACCCAUUACACCUGUUAAAUAUCCCUAGUUUUUUUCCGUAAUAAAACUUCUGCUAUAA